AGUGAACGCUGGCGGUAGGCCUAACACAUGCAAGUCGAACGGCAGCACAGUAAGAGCUUGCUCUUACGGGUGGCGAGUGGAGGACGGGUGAGGAAUACAUCGGAAUCUACUUUUUCGUGGGGGAUAACGUAGGGAAACUUACGCUAAUACAGCAUACGACCUACGGGUGAAAGCAGGGGAUCUUCUGACCUUGCGCGAUUGAAUGCGCCGAUGUCGGAUUUGCUAGUUGGGGGGGGAAAGGCCCACCAAGUCGACGAUCCGUAGCUGGUCUGGGUGGAUGGUAGGCCACACUGGAAGUGAGACACCCUCCAGACUCCUACGGGAGGGAGCAGUGGGGAAUAUUGGACAGUGGGCGCAAGCUUUAUACAGCCGUACGGCGUGGGUGGAGACGGCGUUCGGGUUGUAAAGCCCUUUUGUUGGGAAAGAACAGCAGCAGGUUAAUACGCCGCUGUUCUGACGGUACCCAGAGAAUAAGCACCGGCUAACUUCGUG
rnacentral:rRNA from 1 species